rnacentral:tRNA from 1 species
GGUGGUAGCUCAAUUGGUAGAGCAUUAGCCUUCCAAGCUAACGGUUGUGGGUUCGAGUCUCAUCCGC